ACUACACAUCUAUACAGAGAACACACAGAAGGCUGCUACUUGCAUACGUAACUCUGGCGAGUCGUGGUGACGAGAUUUUGAUCUUUAGAUUCAGAGUGGACAAUGCAUCCACAUCAAGGAAGUAAAUGUGCCCGUGCGUUGCCCAUGCGCUGGAAAGUGUUUCAUUAUCAAAAACUGUGGCUGCAAAACCAGCGCUCAAAUUGAACAUCCAUUCCAUUGAACCGUGGGGACAACAUGAGGCAUCUGUCUCUGAUCUGUUGUUACUUUGGUAGAUAAUAUGUACUGUGCGUGCGUGCAUGUGUUGAUAAGUAGCAGAUUUGCUUGGCCGCCUGUGACACUCAUGUCAAAUCCUUGACAUUUCUGGGGUUAUACAAGCAGCAUGUUUUCUACUCCCUCUGUCCCAUAAUAUAAGAACGUUUUUGACACCAGUGUAGUGUCAAAAACAUUCUUAUAUUAUGGGACGGAGGGAGUAAGGUUUUGUUUUCCCUGCCUCCAUCUCUUCCAUGGCAAGCAGCACAAGUUUCUUUGUUUGUAAAUUAAGCAGUCUGGUAGAUUUGGAAAGGAGGAACAGGGUACUGAACUUUUAUAUAUCUGCAUAAGAUUUGCAAGAAUAUUAUGUUAUGUAAGAACAUGGCGGUGCAGUCACCCGAGGUGAAGAAGCUCCGUCACCUACCAACACCUCCUCCACCAGGCUGACAAGCACAACUGCUGACAACUGACAACAGUGAGGAACCCAGCAAAAGGGGAGCUUGGCUGCCAACGGGGUGAUGGACAGAUUGUAGGGGGUGCUUGCCACAUAUCUUCAAUAUUACAACGAUGCCAAUGUUCAGGAGUUAAUCUACUGCAGAAAAAAUGACACACCAUUGUCAAGUUGGGUGGAAUUCAGCCUGCUGUAUCUGUUUGUUUUUUUGCUUCUGGCAUAUCCAUCAACUCUGUUAACACCAAACAAAGUAACAAACUUGACAAAACUGAAACUCAUCUCCCAGAUUUCUCUAUGCACCGCCAUAGAUUCUGAUUUGUCCAUUGUCUUUACAACUUACAUUUUGUAUGUAUCUGGAAGCUAAUUCAGCAUGA